GCAUUGGUGGUUCAGUGGUAGAAUUCUAGCUUGCCAUGUUGGAGGCCUGCUUGGUUCAAUUCCCAGCCAAUGCA